AGAGUUUGAUCAUGGCUCAGAGUGAACGCUGGCGGCGUGCUUAACACAUGCAAGUCGAACGAUGAAGCUGGUGCUUGCACCAGUGGAUUAGUGGCGCACGGGUGAGUAAUGUAUAGCUAACCUGCCCUAAAGAGGGGGACAACAGUUGGAAACGACUGCUAAUACCCCAUAUACCUUCUAUACAAAAGUGUAGUCGGGAAAUGUUUUUUCGCUUUAGGAUGGGGCUAUAUGGUAUCAGGUAGUUGGUGAGGUAAGAGCUCACCAAGCCAAUGACGCCUAGCUGGUCUGAGAGGAUGAUCAGCCACACUGGAACUGAGACACGGUCCAGACUCCUACGGGAGGCAGCAGUGGGGAAUAUUGCACAAUGGGGGGAACCCUGAUGCAGCAACGCCGCGUGGAGGAUGACGCAUUUNGGUGUGUAAACUCCUUUUAUUGGGGAAGAAAGGGGAC
rnacentral:rRNA from 1 species